rfam:Hoeflea phototrophica DFL-43 chromosome, whole genome shotgun sequence.
CAGGCAUGCUGGAGCCCCGCAGCGGCGCCUGGGAACUUGAACCCGACACCGUAACCCAUACCGGGGCUUAU